rnacentral:rRNA from 1 species
GUCUUACUGAUUAUAAUUUUAAGUCAAAUYUGCUCAAUGAAAUAAUUUUAAAWAGCUGCCGUAUAAAUAACUGUACAAAGGUAGCAUAAUAAUUAGUUUUUUAAUUAAAAACUAGAAUGAAAGAUUUAAUGAAAUAUAGACUUUAUUAAUUUAAUAAAAAUUAAAUUUUUUAUUUAAUUUAAAAAAAUUAAAUAAAAUUAAAAGACGAGAAGACCCUAUAGAAUUUUAUUUUUAACUAAAAAUAUAUAAUAAUUAUUUUUAAUUAUAAAAAUUUAAUUGGGGAAAUUUUAAAAUUUAAAUAAUUUUUAAAUAUAAUAACAAAAAUUAUUGAAUAUAAUAUAUUUUUUUUUUAAAAAAAAAAUAAAUUAAAUUACCUUAGGGAUAACAGCAUAAUUUUUUUAAAAAGUUCAAAUUUWUAAAAAAGUUUAU